rnacentral:rRNA from 1 species
UACGGAGGGUGCGAGCGUUGUCCGGAAUCACUGGGCGUAAAGGGCGCGUAGGCGGCGCGGAUAGUCGGCGGUGAAAGCCCGGAGCUCAACUCCGGGUCGGCCGUCGAUACUUCCGGGCUUGAGCACUGUAGAGGCAGAUGGAAUUCCGGGUGUAGCGGUGGAAUGCGUAGAGAUCCGGAAGAACACCGGUGGCGAAGGCGGAUCUGCUGGGCGCGAGUUGGCUGACGCUGA